rnacentral:rRNA from 1 species
CGCUGGCGGCGUAGAUUAGGCAUGCAAGUCGAGCGAUCCUUGACAAAUUUUACUGGGGCGUAAGUUCUGGUGAGAUUUGUCAAGGAUAGCGGCAGACUGGUGAGUAACACGUGAGUAAUUUACCUCUAAGUCGGGGAUAGCUUUGCGAAAGCGAAGGUAAUACCCGAUGUGUUUACGACUGCAUAAGCAGUUGUAUGUAAAGAAGGCUCGCAAGAGUUUUCGUUUAGAGAUGAGCUCGCGUCCUAUCAGCUAGUUGGUGGGGUAAUGGCCUACCAAGGCUUUUGACGGGUAGCUGGCCUGAGAGGGUGGUCAGCCACAUGGGGACUGAGACACUGCCCCAACUCCUACGGGAGGCUGCAGUCGAGGAUAUUUAGCAAUGGACGAAAGUCUGACUAUGUGACGCCGCGUGAGGGAUGAAGGUCUUCGGAUUGUAAACCUCUUUCGAUAGGGAAGAAAACCUAUUCUUAACGGAAUAGACUGACGGUACCUAGAGAAGAAGCCACGGCCAACUCUGUGCCAGCAGCCGCGGUAAUACAGAGGUGGCGAGCGUUACUCGGAUUUAUUGGUGUAAAGGGCAAGUAGGCGUCUUAACAAGUUAGUAGUGAAAUCCUGCAGCUCAACUGCAGAACUGCUUCUAAAACUGUUGAGAUUGAGACUGGAAGAGGAAAGCGGAAUUCUCGGUGUAAGAGUGAAAUCUGUAGACAUCGAGAGGAACACCAGUGGCGAAGGCGGCUUUCUGGUCCAGUACUGACGCUGGAUGCGAAAGCUAGGGGAGCAAACAGGAUUAGAUACCCUGGUAGUCC